UGGCUCUCGCAUCGAUGAGGAACGCAGCGAAAUGCGAUAAGUAAUGUGAAUUGCAGAAUUCAGUGAAUCAUCGAAUCUUUGAACGCACCUUGCGCUCCUUGGUAUUCCUUGGAGCAUGCCUGUUUGAGUAUCAUGAAAUUAUCAAAACAAGUCUUUCGUUCACUCGACUGGCUUUUUGUUUUGGAGUUGGAGGUCUUGCAGAUUCACUUCUGCUCCUCCUAAAUGCAUUAGCUGGAUCUCUGUGAACUCGGUUCCACUCGGCGUGAUAAGUAUCACUCGCUGAGGACAUCUGUAACAAGGUGGCCGGGGUCGUAGAUUGAACCGCUUCCAACAUUCCAAUCGGAACUUAUUAUGAUCUGAUCUCAAAUCAGGUAGGACUACCCGCUGA
rnacentral:misc_RNA from 1 species